ACUCGAGCGUCAGCGAGAGAACGUUGCCGCAGGCAACGGCCCGAAGGGCGAGGCGCUUUAGCGCCGAGUAAUCCUUCCCCCACCACCA
rnacentral:sRNA from 1 species